UACGAAGGGGGCGAGCGUUGUUCGGAUUUACUGGGCGUAAAGGGCGCGCAGGCGGCUCAUUUUGUCAGGCGUGAAAGCCCCGGGCUUAACCUGGGAACUGCGUUUGAUACGGAUGGGCUAGAGUUCGGGAGAGGAGAGUGGAAUUCCCAGUGUAGAGGUGAAAUUCGUAGAUAUUCGGAAGAACACCAGUGGCGAAGGCGGCUCACUGGCCCGGUACUGACGCUGAGAUACGAAAGCGUGGGGAGCAAACAGG
rnacentral:rRNA from 1 species